AACGAACGCUGGCGGCACGCUUAACACAUGCAAGUCGAACGGGUGUAGCAAUACAUCAGUGGCAGACGGGUGAGUAACACGUGGGAACCUUCCUAGGGGUACGGAACAACUCAGGGAAACUUGAGCUAAUACCGUAUACGUCCGUGAGGAGAAAGAUUUAUCGCCCUUAGACGGGCCCGCGUCGGAUUAGCUAGUUGGUGGGGUAACGGCCUACCAAGGCGACGAGCCGUAGCUGAUCUUAGAGGAUGAUCAGCCACACUGGGACUGAGACACGGCCCAGACUCCUACGGGAGGCAGCAGUGGGGAAUCUUGGACAAUGGGCGCAAGCCUGAUCCAGCCAUGCCGCGUGAGUGAAGAAGGCCUUAGGGUUGUAAAGCUCUUUUACCAGGGACGAUAAUGACGGUACCUGGAGAAUAAGCCCCGGCAAACUUCGUGCCAGCCGCCGCAGUAACAC
rnacentral:rRNA from 1 species